AAUUUUGGACAAUGGGGGCAACCCUGAUCCAGCCAUGCCGCGUGAGUGAAGAAGGCCUUCGGGUUGUAAAGCUCUUUCGGCCGGAACGAAAUCGCACGGGUGAAUAGCCCGUGUGGAUGACGGUCCCGGAAUAAGAAGCACCGGCUAACUAAGUGUCAGCAGCCGAGGUAAUACGUAGGGUGCGAGCGUUAAUCGGAAUUACUGGGCGUAAAGCGUGCGCAGGCGGUUUGUUAAGCCAGAUGUGAAAGCCCCGGGCUCCACCUGGGAACUGCGUUUGGUACUGGCAAGCUAGAGUACGGCAGAGGGGGGUGGAAUUCCACGUGUAGCAGUGAAAUGCGUAGAGAUGUGGAGGAACACCGAUGGCGAAGGCAGCCCCCUGGGCCGAUACUGACGCUCAGGCACGAAAGCGUGGGGAGCAAACAGG
rnacentral:rRNA from 1 species